AAAAACUGCAAUCACUUUUGC
rnacentral:miRNA from 1 species